rnacentral:rRNA from 1 species
UACGUAGGUGACAAGCGUUGUCCGGAUUUACUGGGCGUAAAGAGCGCGCAGGCGGUCGAUCAAGUCGAGUGUGAAAGCCCCCGGCUCAACUGGGGAGGGUCAUUCGAUACUGAUCGACUCGAAGGCAGGAGAGGGUAGUGGAAUUCCCGGUGUAGUGGUGAAAUGCGUAGAUAUCGGGAGGAACACCAGUGGCGAAGGCGACUACCUGGCCUGUUCUUGACGCUGAGGCGCGAAAGCUAGGGAGCAAACGGG